UUAGUUUUUUUAGAAAAUAUAAAUCAACAUUUUAAACACAUUAAAGUUUUUAUCAAUGCAAUAAAACAUGCAGGACUAGUUGUCUCUGCUAAAAAGAUAAAUUUAUUCCAAACAAAAUUAGAUUUUUAGGACAUCAUAGAAAUUAUGGUACAAUCAUACCAAUUGAAAUAUCUAUCCAUUUUGCGGAUAAAUUCUCAGAUGUUAUUCUUGAUAAAACAGAAUUACAACGCUUUUAAGAUGCUUAAAUUACAUAGUAGAUUUUUAUGAAAAUCUAGCAAUAGAUGCUAAGCCAUUAUAUGAUCGACUAAAAAAGAAUCCUCUUAAAUGGACAGAAGAACAUACUCAAGCUGUGAAAAAAAUAAAACUCAAGGCUAAGGAAUUACCUUGUCUAACCCUGGCCAAUCCUAAUACUUUUAAAAUUAUAGAAUGUGAUGCCUCUGAAUUAGGACUAGGAGGUAUAUUAAAACAACGUAUUAAUUCUACUGAACAAUUAAUUCGUUAUACCUCUAAAGCAUGGAAUUCUACUCAACAAAGCUAUUCCACUGUUAAAAAAGAAAUCCUUGUUAUAGUACAUUGUGUAACCAAAUUUCAGAGUGACAUUUUAAAUACUCAUUUUCUUAUUAGAACAGAUUGCAAAGCACCUACCGAUAUCCUUACUAAAGAUGUGCAAAACCUUGUCUCCAAGCAAAUCUUUGCUCGAUGGCAAGCUAUCUUAUCCUCUUUUGACUUUUCUAUUGAACAUCUCAAAGGUACUGCUAACCAUCUCCUUGAUUUUCUUACUCGUGAAUUUUUGCAGGGGGCAACAUUGAUCACUUUUAUCCACCAUCUUUAUCAUUUCCUUUAUCUUUAUUUUAUAUGAAUAUGAAUACUAAUACUUCUGAGCAAAAGGGCAAAGCUCCAAUAGAAACCUCUUUAGAUGUUGUCCCAGACAAUAUUACUCAAUCCCCAAUAAGAAGUAUGACAACCUAUUCACCCAGCAGCACACCUACUAGUCCACAAACAUAUUCCCCAAAUAUUACAUAUCCAGCACAUUCAAGCCAAACUCCAUCUUUCCCACAUAUUCCAGUUUUUCAACAAUCACCCAUACCAAGAAAAACAGCUUCUACUGGAAAAUCUCAGUACGUUGCUGAUGCCAUUAUAAACAUGUUUUAGACAACCCAAAUACAGUUGCCAAGUACUAUUUGUGCAAUAACCUCUGUCCUUCAAAUGGUAGCAAAAUCAGAGAAUGGUACGAGAUGAUUUUACUAGAAACAUAAUCCAUUUCACUGGUUCACUAUAACCAGAAAAAUUCAAAAAUAGUUGCUUAUUCGAAAUUACAAAUAAGAAAAAUAUUAUCUUUUGAAGAAUGGGGAUCAGACCCAUCUAGAGCAAAAAAUUAUAUUCCCCUAAAUUCCCAAAUAAAUAUUACCGCCAUUCAGAUUAUAUUGAUGCUUGGCACAAAAUUCUAGCCAUAUAAAACCCAUAUAAUUCGCACAUUUGGUUUCUGCAAUUCAAGAUGCCCAUAACAAUCCCAUUUCCGAACUGGUUUGCUAUAUGGGUAUCCUCAUCCCAAAUAUUACCUGAGUCUCUACAGGUAUCCCAAGCUCGCUUCAUUAAAAGAAAUGGGAGUGAUCCCAAUAUUGAUUAUCAUUUAUAUUUUGUUUCACUUUACUAAAUUCUAUGGAUACUGAAAUGGUCAUUUACUAUACCUACAAAUAAUACUAACAAUUAUGGAUAUAUUCCUUGCAUUGGCAAACGAAUUGCUAUUAAAUGGUGGGACGUCUUUGUCUACCAUAAUCUUGAACCAGAUAAUAUACAACACAAACAGAUCCCUACUAGUCAUGGUUCUCACUCUUAUGCCAACCCAAAUAGUCUUGCUGAAUAUAUUGCAAUAAUGAAAAAACAAAACCCCAAAGCAACCAAAGAUGAGCUUGGAAAACAAUUGUUAAAAAUGUUCGAAGAAGAGUAGAAACGGCUCAAAUCCACAAUGAAGAAGGUACACCAGAAAUAGAUGUUUUGAAUGAUUCACCAGAUCCAGAUCCAACAGAACAUGGUAUGUCCCAAAAGCAUACUUUGUACUGAGACAAGGCCAAGCUACAACCCGACGUAUCCAAAGAUGCCUAAGCACCUGUCACAUCACUUAAAGCAGGUUCCCUAUCCCUCUCAGCCGACCCAACGUAGAUUCUCUAUCCCUGUGAUAAACCAUAAAGUAAAAGGAAGAAUCUUUUGCCAACGCUAAAAGACAAAGCACCGACACUUCAUGACAAAAGAAGAUUCCCACUAGCAAAAAGAUAAAGCCGAAGCUUUCCUACUUCCCUCACAGCCAACCACCUGUCCUCCACUACCUGCCGACAAUCAACCAUCCUUUAUCAGCCGUCCACCGGGCAAUAUCCAACAACAACAUUAAAAAAGCAAUCAACCAAAAUAAAUCCCCUCUUCACGUCCAUGGCUAUAUAAGGGGCUACAUCUCUCAGAAGAAAGGCAGGUCGAGCAACACUCCAAAGACCAAAGCGCCUUGAAAAUUACUCUCAGACCUAUCUCUUCCUCUAAUUUCUUUCUCUAGUCUAAUAUUGCUUUUUCUCAGUCCAUGUAAUUACCUUAUGUGUGAAUGUCAUCACUUACUACUACCAAGCUACUGUCUACCUGAGUGGAAAGAUUUCUGCAGUUAUUGCUUGUGUAUUCAGCUAGCUCUAAAAGGAUGGGUUUUCAGUUAUUCUUCCAUAUUAAUGCAAGGUAUGUUCACAACCAUCACCAUUCUAGAGUUCCUCUGUUUCUUUUUAUCUUUUAAUAGAGAGAGGUUUUAUUUUCUUAGGGACCCAAAUGGACCAAAAUAUGUAGUCUUUUUUGGUUUUUUUUGCUUUUUAUUUUUAUCUCAGUUAAAAGAAAUGAUUAAAUUGGUAUCGUAGGAUUGAUAUAGAUAACCUGGGUUUUCUUUUAUUGACUCCAUUUGGGUGUAUUUCUCUUUCAAUUUCUUUCUAGGUCUUGGAUGAGCAAAUGGAUAUUUGCAUGUGUCUUGCUUCCAUAUUAAGAUAAUUUGUGCGCUCUAUUAUUGCCUCCAUUUAUGUGUAUGACUUUUUUCACUUCUUCGACUUGGUUGAGCAAAAGGAUGUAUGCCUAUAAAUCCUCCAUAAGACAAGGCCCUUUAGAGCAAUAUAUUUUUAUACAGGAAUGGUAAAAUAUGACGUUUUUUACUUUGGUUUUCCUUCUUAUUCUUUUUUUAUUGUACUUAAGAAUGGCCCAUUAUUAUCACGUGAUAGAUUGUGAAGUAAAUUUGAUCCAAAUGAUAUGGGGAACGAUUUAAUUCACUUAUUGUGUAACCUUUUGGGAAGGGUUGGUUUGUUAGUGACCGUAAAAGAGAUUGUAGUACUAGCUAUGAGUGUUCAUGAUAGGGUAAAAACUAUUUGGUUUAUCUUUCUUUUCUUGCUAGAUUUAGUAAUAUAUUUGAACACAACGGGAAUGGGAAUUUGGGCAAGGCUGGUAAGUGAUAAUGCUUUUUACAAUUUUGAUGUCAAGGAAUUCAAAGGUGGUUCCUAAUAGGCAUGUAAAUGGUUAUUUAAAUACUCAUUUAUUCCCAAAUUGUUGUUCAAAUAAUUCUGCUUAUUUUGUUUUAAUAGUUAUUCAAGUAAUUCUUACACAAGAAGACCUUUGUUAUAAAUUUCAAAUGGUUAACCUAAUUAGUGAAUAAUUCAUUAAUUUAGAUGGGUUUGCUGAAUUUUAAUCUUUUCAUAUAAAUAAUGCAACUAUUCACAAUUAAGUUAUAUGCAUUUGUUAAGUUGUUGUGAAGUAAUUCCAAUGUUUUAUAAUUCUUUGUGUUCAAAAGCUUUAAAAAGCUAUAUGUUUCUUGGUGUGCAUGUAACUGGUUAUUUGGUUACUCACUCAUUUUAAUUCCAAUAAUGUGUUUCUUUCCUUUGGAAGCCCUUCAAAUAAUUAUUACAUAAGCAAAUUUUUGUUCUUAAUAUCAAGUGGUUAUAUAUUUAUCAAUAGGUAAUUCAUUUAUUCACAUGGAUGUGCAAAAUAUUUUGCUGACACUUUAUGAACUAGAGAAACUUUUAAUUUUACAAAAUAAGAAAAAACUAAGUCAUUUUAUUCUGAUCCUUUGUGGAGAUUCAUUCCAAAGGAUAAGAAAUCGAAGCUAAAGCCACUGAUCUUAAGCCCCUCAUCAACAUUACCUUUUGAGCCUAACUAAUAGCCCAAAGAUAUAUGCUGGCAUGAGCCUUGAAGAUUUUUCAGAAUUGUUCAGAUGGUGGUGGAAGGCUUAUUGUUACCUGCCAACUUACCCAUUAGCAUCAAUGGCUACUCUAUCCAAAGCACAUUUUUCCCUUACUUGACCAUGAUCUGCUCAUGAUUUGGGCAAGAUCUCAAUAUGCAAGUGACAUGCACAAAUCUAGCUUGAAGUGUCUCCUUAAGUAGUUCGGAUAUUCAUUUGUACUCUUAAGUGUAUUAGAGCUAUAUAGUUCAUGUUAUUUCCAUAUGGUUGUCUAUAGUGUAAAAUUCUGGUUUAUAAUCCCCAAGGGGCUGAAUAAGAGCAAAGGCCAAGUGCUUCUUUUGUCU